AACGAAGCACUUUGACCGAUUUCUUCGGAAUGAAGUUUUAGUGACUGAGUGGCGGACGGGUGAGUAACGCGUGGGUAACCUGCCUCACACUGGGGGAUAACAGUUAGAAAUAGCUGCUAAUACCGCAUAAGCGCACGGUACCGCAUGGUACGGUGUGAAAAACUCCGGUGGUGUGAGAUGGACCCGCGUCUGAUUAGCUAGUUGGCGGGGCAACGGCCCACCUAGCCGACGACGGGUAGCCGGGUUGAGAGGGUGAACGGCCACAUUGGGACUGAGACACGGCCCAAACUCC
rnacentral:rRNA from 1 species